AGCCACGCAGUGAGCACAAAGUGAACUAUUCUUUCGCCUUUUACUAAAGAAUACCGUGUGCACGUUGCAAUUAGUGGUAUACUCCAAUUUUUUGAGGGGUUUUCUGAUUUGAGAACC